rnacentral:rRNA from 1 species
UACAGAGGGGGCAAGCGUUAUCCGGAAUUAUUGGGCGUAAAGGGCGCGUAGGCGGCCUGGCAAGUGGAAGGUGAAAUCCCUCGGCUUAACCGAGGAACUGCCCUCCAAACUGCUUGGCUUGAGUCCGGGAGAGGUGAGUGGAAUUCCCAGUGUAGCGGUGAAAUGCGUAGAUAUUGGGAGGAACACCAGUGGCGAAGGCGGCUCACUGGACCAUUACUGACGCUGAUGCACGAAAGCUAGGGGAGCAAACAGG